CGAUAGCUCAGCUGGAUAGAGCAAUUGACUUCUAAUCAAUAGGUCGCAGGUUCGAAUCCUGCUCG
rnacentral:tRNA from 1 species